AAGUCUAACCUGCCCUAUGAUUUAUUAUUAAAUGGCCGCGAUAUUCUGAUCGUGCAAAGGUAGCAUAAUAAUUAGUUUUUUAAUUGAGAACUGGUAUGAAUGGUUGAACGAAAAAAAAACUGUCUCAAUUUAAUUUAAAUUAGAAUUUUAUUUUUAAGUUAAAAAGCUUAAAUAUUUUUAAAAGACGAGAAGACCCUAUAGAGUUUUAUAUAAGUUUAUUAUUUUAAAAAAUUUUAGGAUUUUAAAUUUAAUUAUAAUAGUUUAUAUUUAAUUGGGGUGAUUAAAAAAUUUAAGGAACUUUUUUUAAAUUUAAACAUAAAUUUAUGAAUAGAUGAUCC
rnacentral:rRNA from 1 species